CUGCAUAGGGUGUGACUAUCAGGAACCAUGGCUCACUGGAGCACCAUCUUUGGAGUCUAGCUAACACAGCAUCUUGGAUGCACUCCUAAGAGAAGACUACCUGAAAGGCGUGUACACUGGUCUAGCAGUUGAGAUCAGCUAGUGUUCCAUCUAUCUUCUGUCAUGUAUCUCUUCUAAGAUGUCUUGAUCGACUGACCCCAAAGCCAGAGGGUACCAGGUCAAAAAGCAAGUUUGGAAGUCUGGAAAAGUUCAAGAUUGGCCAUCUGCAGCUGGUGAGAGCCUCAGGCUGCUUCCCCUCAUGGUGGAAGGUGAAGGGGAGCUGGUGUGUGCAGAGAUUACAUGCUUUUCUAGGUCAUCAUUCUAGGCUUUGUUGAAGCAUGCAUUUUUGGCAUGAGGGUGGCAGCCUUUGCACUAUGUGCAUGGCUGAGGAGUUAGGAUCUGGAGGGUGAUGAAAGCAAAGGUGCUGCUGGUUACUCUUGGUUCAUCUAGCAAUAGAUGAUCUGAAUGUUAGAGUUCGCCAAAUAUUGUUCCUGGGCAGUCUUUGCUCUACCAAAUCAACUUUCUCCAUGGGGGAGCUAGAAGUCACCCCACAUUCUCCGCCAUGGCCAGCUCUACAUUCUAAGAGAACCAAUGGCUCUACCCAACAUAUUCUUCUCACCACAGAUGACAAAGACACAAGGAGCCAAGACAGAUCAUUCAAGCAUAUUCAUUGCCUCUAUCUUCAUCCCAUUAAAUAACAUCCCGCCAACCAAAGCAAGUUAUCUGCAUAAGAAUAAAUAUUCCACCUACUCUACUGCAAGGCCCUGCAAGAGUCAUGAGACAAAAGGAUCCUCUGUGGACAGCACCCAAGAUGGAAACAACUGACAGUCUAUGGCCAGGGCUAUACUCUGGUGAAACUGAAAGGUGUCUGCAUGGAAGUGUCUGACUACCACCAUCCACUCAGGCAAAUGCAUUUGUUUCCCUCUAUUCAUUAUUAGAAGAGAGGAGAUUACAUACCAGACAUAUACCAAUAGGUUUUCUCUUCAUAAUACCUACGUCAUCUAGUAGCAUAACAUAAGGCAGAAUCCUUCAAAGGUUGACUCCUAGAGAUGGAAGAGCUGUAAGCAGAGACAGAAAAGUAUGUUUUCACACAAACUCUUUGGCUCAUUAGCAG
rnacentral:lncRNA from 1 species